GAUGAACGCUGGCGGCGUGCUUAACACAUGCAAGUCGAACGGGAAUUAUUUUAUUGAAACUUCGGUCGAUUUAAUUUAAUUCUAGUGGCGGACGGGUGAGUAACGCGUGGGUAACCUGCCUUAUACAGGGGGAUAACAGUCAGAAAUGACUGCUAAUACCGCAUAAGCGCACAGGACCGCAUGGUCCGGUGUGAAAAACUCCGGUGGUAUAAGAUGGACCCGCGUUGGAUUAGCUGGUUGGUGGGGUAACGGCCCACCAAGGCGACGAUCCAUAGCCGGCCUGAGAGGGUGAACGGCCACAUUGGGACUGAGACACGGCCCAGACUCCUACGGGAGGCAGCAGUGGGGAAUAUUGCACAAUGGGGGAAACCCUGAUGCAGCGACGCCGCGUGAAGGAAGAAGUAUCUCGGUAUGUAAACUUCUAUCAGCAGGGAAGAUAGUGACGGUACCUGACUAAGAAGCACCGGCUAAAUACGUGCCAGCAGCCGCGGUAA
rnacentral:rRNA from 1 species